rnacentral:misc_RNA from 1 species
AAAAAAGUAUUCAAUCGUCUUUCAAAAUUGACAACAAAAACUCUAUACAUUUUAUUGGAUGAAGGAACCCGACCGACCGACGAGCUGACGAUCAAUCCUACGAAUGAACGAACAGUAAAUUUCUAUCUAGCAGAUCAGAGUUAAUUCUAUUGAUCCUUCAAGCUCAAAGGGAGAACGAUGAUCAUUUAUAUUUCAUACGAUCUCUGAUCAUCUUCAGUCCAACAUAUCUUCCCAUCAUCAUAAGGGUAGCCUGAGGAUUAGUCCCUGGAGAAACACUAAAAGUGGAGCCAUCAACAACUCUAAGUGCUCCAAUACCAUUGACAUGGUAAUCACGAUCAACCACUUUCCCCACAACACAUCCUCCAUGGUAAUGCCAUAUGGUGCUA